rnacentral:misc_RNA from 1 species
UCCGCUUUCGGCCCUGUCUAUCAGCCAUGCCAGAGCCACUCGUACCGAUGAGCGGCACGACCGCGGACAAGUUCUUGAGCAAGCAGGUGUACAAGAACAACCGAAUCGCCCAGAACAUGUUCUCGAGUGCCACGCGCAAGGACAAAAAGAUUAUGCUGCCCCAGACGCUGCUGAAAGGCCUCACCAUCCAGAAGCUAUGGGACAACGUGUUUCAGGACAACACCGAGUUUUUGAGAAAGUACCACGACAGGCGCAAUGAGUCGAAACUCGAGAUCGGCCCGUGGGACUACGCAGUCGACCACGGCAGCGGCUCGCGCUUCGUGUCGCUCGUCGCCAUUGUCGAGGUGCCGCGUGCUGGUACGCCGACGCCACUGAACCAGGCGCACCGUUUCGCCUACAUCAACACACCAGAGGGAAAGCUGAUGCUUGUGUACCAGAUAUCGUCGCAGACGCCUGAAGUGCCGGCCGGCGGCUCCUUCCGCACCGAGGCGUACUUCGAGAUCACCGCCGAUAGCGCCGACAGCGACUGCUCCAUCGCCAUUUGGGGCAACUGCCGUAAAAUGAGUAUGUCCUUUUCCGCGAUCCAAUACAUAGCGACGCCGCGUGCCAUCAAAGAGAUGACAUCAGCGUAUCGGCAAAUGGUGAAUAUGAUUAGUGAGGAGUUUUGCGGUGGCGCGGUGGCGCCGGCCGAGAACGGCGGUGGCGACGCUGAGGGCGCCGAGGCCAAUGGUAACGCCGGCGACGGCGGUGUCGGCGGUGGCGAUGGCGGCGGCCUUGGCUCUGUCUUCCAUGGCACGUUGCUUGUACUGGCGGUGCUGGUGACGCUGCUUGUCUUCAAUAGCACUCGCACGAUGGCGCGCACCUCUCAUGUGGCCAUGACGAUGCUGAGCCAGGAUCGCGCCAUGUGGGAAGGCUCUCGCGCUGGCGGCCGCGGACCCGCUCCCGCGAGUACGGGUGGAUGGAUGUGCGAAGAAAAGGCGCUACUGACGGCGGCGAGGGAGGCGCAAAUUCAGACGAUGCGAUAUCGCUGGAUGGAGCAGCAGGCGGAGAUCGAACACCUGCAGCGGACCGUCUCGCUUCUGAAGUGGAUGGCUUAUGUGCAGGUGGCUGCCGUGGUUGUGGCGCUGAGCGGGUUUGGCUACUUGCUGAAGCGCCAUUUAGACUUAACUCCAGAAGCUUAGUGGGACCGCUGAGUCGCAUAUGGUGCCGUUUUUUUUUUUUGUUGCUUCCCUCUUGCCUCCUCUCGCGUGAGGGGUGCCGGUGGAGAAGAGGUGUGAGCGACGAGGAUAUCGUAGAUUGAAUGAGGACGUAGCUGCUGUGCUUGCCUGUUUGUGUUUUCGCUUGCAAGCGACUCGCGGCGCUGAAUCAGCGAAGCGCUGCGCCGCUGCAGACGCCGUCUUGGGGCCUCCCCUCCUCCUUUCUCUCUUUCGUGCUGGACUCCUUCAUUCCACGGCUUUCCUCAUUUAUCUGUGUCGUUUUCCUUUUCCUUUUCCAUCCACCGGUAUUCUGCCACCUCGCCGGGCACACAG